rnacentral:rRNA from 1 species
GAAUUCGCCCUUAGAGUUUGAUCCUGGCUCAGGAUGAACGCUGGCGGCGUGCUUAACACAUGCAAGUCGAGCGAAGCAGUUAAGUUGAUUUCUUCGGAUUGAUUCUUAAUUGACUGAGCGGCGGACGGGUGAGUAACGCGUGGGUGACCUGCCCCAUACCGGGGGAUAACAGCUGGAAACGGCUGCUAAUACCGCAUAAGCGCACAGAGCUGCAUGGCUCGGUGUGAAAAACUCCGGUGGUAUGGGAUGGGCCCGCGUCUGAUUAGGCAGUUGGCGGGGUAACGGCCCACCAAACCGACGAUCAGUAGCCGGCCUGAGAGGGCGACCGGCCACAUUGGGACUGAGACACGGCCCAAACUCCUACGGGAGGCAGCAGUGGGGAAUAUUGCACAAUGGGGGAAACCCUGAUGCAGCGACGCCGCGUGAGCGAAGAAGUAUUUCGGUAUGUAAACUUCUAUCAGCAGGGAAGAUAGUGACGGUACCUGACUAAGAAGCCCCGGCUAACUACGUGCCAGCAGCCGCGGUAAUACGUAGGGGGCAAGCGUUAUCCGGAUUUACUGGGUGUAAAGGGAGCGUAGACGGUGUGGCAAGUCUGAUGUGAAAGGCAUUGGCUCAACCUGUGGACUGCAUUGGAAACUGUCAUACUUGAGUGCCGGAGGGGUAAGCGGAAUUCCUAGUGUAGCGGUGAAAUGCGUAGAGAUAGGGAGGAACACCAGUGGCGAAGGCGGCCUACUGGGCUUUAACUGACGCUGAGGCACGAAAGCGUGGGUAGCAAACAGGAUUAGAUACCCUGGUAGUCCACGCUGUAAACGAUGAUUACUAGGUGUGGGGGGUCUGACCCCCUUCCGUGCCGGAGUUAACACAAUAAGUAAUCCACCUGGGGAGUACGACCGCAAGGUUGAAACUCAAAGGAAUUGACGGGGGCCCGCACAAGCAGUGGAGUAUGUGGUUUAAUUCGAAGCAACGCGAAGAACCUUACCAGGUCUUGACAUCGAGUGACGAAUCUAGAGAUAGAUUUUUCCUUCGGGACACAAAGACAGGUGGUGCAUGGUUGUCGUCAGCUCGUGUCGUGAGAUGUUGGGUUAAGUCCCGCAACGAGCGCAACCCUUGCUAUUAGUUGCUACGCAAGAGCACUCUAAUAGGACUGCCGUUGACAAAACGGAGGAAGGUGGGGACGACGUCAAAUCAUCAUGCCCCUUAUGACCUGGGCUACACACGUACUACAAUGGAUGUAAACAGAGGGAAGCAAAAUAGCGAUAUGGAGCAAACCCCAAAAAGCAUUCUCAGUUCAGAUUGCAGGCUGCAACUCGCCUGUAUGAAGUUGGAAUUGCUAGUAAUCGCGGAUCAGCAUGCCGCGGUGAAUACGUUCCCGGGCCUUGCACACACCGCCCGUCA